ACAGAAUGGGUGAAUCUCUCCAUCUACCGCUGGCCAUUGAUAGACUACCGGUCAUCAGUGUGGAAGAGACAGUGCAUGACUCCAUCCUUUUAGAAGACUCUUCUGCCACAGACGCGCCUCCGUCCACAAACAGACGCGCCACCGUCCACAGACAGACGCCCCACCGUCCACGGACAGACGCGCCUCCGUCCACAGACACGCCUGCCCCACAUCAAGUGAUUUGUGAGGAUGACAUCAUUGGCAAGCAUACAUCCAUCACUUCAGAAGUCAGUUCAAUAGAUCUGAUUAACUCUCUUGUGCUGCCUGUUGAUCAGUGCCCAUCAAUUGGAGAGGCACAGCAAGCAUCAUUGAAUGGAUCUGCCCUAAAGACAAUGGCGUCUGGAAAUGGAAGUCUCAGCCCACAGUGAGGAGACUCCGGGAUGCUGGCCUUCGAGGCAGAGUUACAAAGAAAGAAAAAUACACAGUUGCAAAGAAAACGAACCUGGCCAAGUAAAUCCAUGCACACAGAUUAAAGGCCAGGCAGAACUCAUCCUAUGGAUAAAGGAGGUUGGCAAUCACAGAUUAAAGGCAGAACUCAUCCUGUGGAUGAAGGAGGAAGUCAACCACUGUUGAUGGUGGUGUAAAAGGGAGGACACAUAUGAGGAGUUUAUUAUCAACAGCCCGAUCUUGAGUCCUACCUGAACCAUAUUCUGAAGAACACCAGCAAGCGUUUUUUCCUUCUCACCACCAGUCUGAGGCCAGGCCACUGCUGGCAGCACUAGAUUACAUCUUCCACAAGGACAGACCAGCCAGGCAGAACACAGAUGGAACCAAGAUCUACUGUCCCAACUCUAUUUGAAGU